GAGGCAACUGAGUGAAGUGACAAAGCUGGUCUUGAACACAUUCUUGCUUUAGCCAAAUAUGAUGAAGUCCCCCCGCCCAUGCUAGGCUUCCUCACUAGAAAUCCCGCUGGAUCCAGAAUCGCAGCUGUCGCACUGCAUUAAAGGCUUGAGUGCCAGCAUGCUGCUAUUGGGCGACGUGGAGGCGACACUUGGAGAGUGUUAAAUGGCCCAGCUCUCAGCUCUCUUGCCUUGACUGUAUCUCCUGAUUUGCAUUCAACUCAAUUGGCCGUUUACUGGUACAACAGCCCCCCAGCCCUGCAGGGGCGAGCGCGGGAGCGAGCGGGCCGUCACAGCGUCGCGCCCCGACGUGAGCCUGCCACCCUCGCCAGGACCGGUGCGCUCAGGUCUUCCCUUCUCUGUGUCCUCGCCACUUCAGCACGUGCUGGUGGAUGACACGCGUGCAGACAUUCAUCUCCUGGGAAAAGCAGAGUGUGUCGCAAUGCAAGGAGCCACUAAUCCAUAAGGAGCUCCUUCCAGCAGCCUCCCCUUUGCAAACGAGGUGCUUCUCAUUCUUGGCAUGCGACUUCUCCUUCGUGCUCUUCCUCUCUGUGUGGCUCUCAUCUUGUGCCACUCCAACCUGCCAAACCUCUGGGUGUCUGCCUGGCAUUCAUUCAGCAAGAGAAAGAAUUGAUUAGUUCGGCUUGUCACCGCCCUUACUGAAGAGCUGCUUCAGUGUCUUCUAAACAGGCUGCCUUUGUACCCGACAUUGGUUCCCGGUGCCAUGAACUGCAGCCAUGGCGAGUCGCAUGGCAGAGGGCAUGAGAUUUGAUGCCCAGGGAAGCCCCCUGCAGCUGCUUUUCUCGUCAAGACCUCCAUGCCCAUGCCAGCCAGCAGAGUGGAAUGGACAUUUUGAUAUGGGAAAGCUUUAGGGUUUUAUUCAUGUUCACUAACUCUUAUUCUACCACAAACACUAGUCUUGGCAUUGGUCACUGAAAUGACGAGAGCAUCAUAGAACACAGCUCAAAGCAGCCUGUGUUGGCAGCAGGAUUUCUUGGCCUUCACCCCUCAAACACCAGGGUGUGACUCAGUGAACAAAUGGAGCUGCUGGGAUGGUCUGUGUGUCCUGAGUUUCCUCCCUCCCCCAGUCUGUGGACAGCACAUGAGCAGCUGAUGAAGACUUCUUGGCCUGGUCCACCCUCUCGUGCUUUGAGGAACUGCUCUCUCCAUCAACGUCAUCGCCUGGAGGACUACAAGCUCCCAAAGGGUUUCUCCAGUGCAUGCUGAGAUGCAGCCUGAAUUCUGUCCCUCCUUGUCUUGACUCCUUGCAAUGAACACCCUGGCAGCUGCUGAUGCCAAGAAUAGCAGCUGUGCAUCCUGCCAACAAUGCCGCUGCAGCUGCUUCUGUUUCCAGGCCAUGGCCAUGGGUACCUCUGGAAAAGAGGCCAUGAGAUCUACCUGGCCAUGCCAAAGACAUAAAUGUCCCGCCACAAUUUCAACAAGUUCUAUUUCUAGUAAUUUUCCUGCUUUCAGUACCAGUA